GAGUUCACCCAGGAACCAGACGCCCGCUGGACGUCAACUCGGCCGGACGCGGGGCACGGGCGCUAACAGGCUCCUAGGAGCCUCCCCGGGCGCCCCCCGCCCAGGGCGCGCUCUGCUCACCUGCAGGUUUCGGCGGCUCCGCGGUGACUAACAACAGCGGCAGCAGCAGCAGCAGCAGCAGAAGCGGUGGCGGCUGUGGCAGCCCCGGGCGCCCGCCCGGACCGCCGCGGGUCAUCGCUCCACGGCCGCGACCUUCCUCUGCGGGAUCAGGCGGCCGCGGUGGCCCGCGGUGGCAGAAGUUGCAAGAGAGGCUCCUGGCCUACUCAGGGGCGCCGCCUCUCCGAGGUGGGGCGUCCUCAACUUUCCUCUUUCUUGAGCCCGGCCUGCUCCGGGCUCUGAGGGGCGAGGACGCUUCACGUGGUGGCCUGGGGCCCACCCCGCCUAGGAAAGGCGGAUCCUUUACGUCUGACCCUCUAGCAACCCCUGGGCCGGUCUGGGAAAGUUCCCCAGCUGCACUUCUGGGAAAUGCAGAGGCUGCCUGCCGCUUUCUUUCGCAGUUUUGCGGCCCAAGGCUUGGGCGAAUCAGUUCACAUCAACACCCCUACUAGCCUCUCCCUCCGGGGUCGACCAUUUAUCUCCAGCAGCGGACCAGGCGCCCGGGCCAGGGUGACAUGCGCGCCCUGCCUACACGCAGCUCGGAUCCUCUGCUGUUUCUGGAGAGGCCUCCACAGUUGCCCUCUGCUGGAAAACAGCAUCUUUGUCCUCUGAGAAAAACAGUCUCCCUUCUUACGGAGGCCAGUGGAUUCCAUCCUAGAGGCUGUGUUGACCGUAUCUCCAAAUAGACAAUAACGAGGCAUCUUGAUUCCCACAACUCCAGCAGCACAGGGACCUGAAAUGAAGGACAGAAAGCAGGAAGUGGAGGCAAUAGAAAUUGCAGAGUAGAGUGAAGACAGGUGGCAUUUCUGGGAUUGGUGCCAUGACAAUGGAAGACAGAAGACAAGACAAAGGCAUAACUUUCCGCCUUGGAUAUUCAGGAAGAUGGGGAAGAUUUGGAGGUAUGCUGACUGCAACAAAGGAGGUGGGCUCUCCCGGAAAGAAAACAACCAAUCAACCACAAAGAUUUCUAACACUCAUUUGGAGAACCUCCAGAGUAUCCGGAGAAACCUUUUUAAUUGGUGCAAUGACAAAACUUGGAACCUUUGAAAAACAUUCCUUUGGUGUGGCUUGGAUUCCUAGGUACACGACUGGAGUGGUUGUUCUUGACAUGCCCUGUAUAAAGUGCAUAGUAUUUUGGAGGCUGCAUAGAUGCAAUGACAAAAUUGGAUAUUCUGCCAUAUUUGCAAUUCAUUGUACUGCUUAUAUCUGAAAAGUCACAUGAGUUUGGUGAUAUGGUUUGGCUCCGUGUCCCCACCCAAAUCUCAUGCUGAAUUGUAAUCCCCAAUGUUAAGGGAGGGACCUGGUGGGAGGUGAUGGGAUCAUGGGUGCAGAUUUCCCCAUUGCUGUUCCUGUGUUAGUGAGUUCUCAUGAGAUCUAGUUGUUUGAACGUGUGUGGCACCUCCCCCUUUGCUCUCUCUCUCUCUUCCUGCCAUGCGAAGAAGGUGCUUGCUUCCCCUUCACUCUUCCACCAUGGUUGUACAUUUCCUGAGGCCUCCCCAGCCAUGCUUCUUGAACACCCUGUGGAACUGUGAGUUAUUUAAACCUCCUUUCCUCAUAAAUUACCUAGUCUCGGGUAGUUCUUUAUAAUAGGGUGAGAAUGGACUAUUACACUUGGAAAAUAGUGUGUUAUCCAGAGAGAGAAACUCAUGUUGUAAAUAAACGAAGGAAGGGCUGGGAGUUAACAUGAUGAGCUUUGAUAACAGGUUGUUGCUGACAUAGAUAAAAUUAGUAUACAGAGUAGAUCUCUUAGAAAGUCUUCCCAGAAGAAAAAACUUCUGGCCAGGCACAGUGGCUCACACCUGUAAUCCCA
ensembl:lncRNA PLBD1-AS1 PLBD1 antisense RNA 1